UGGGGAAUAUUGGACAAUGGGCGAAAGCCUGAUCCAGCAAUGCCGCGUGUGUGAAGAAGGCCCUCGGGUUGUAAAGCACUUUCAGUUGAGAAGAAAAGCUUGGCGCUAAUACCGCCGAGUCUUGACGUAACCAACAGAAGAAGCACCGGCUAACUCUGUGCCAGCAGCCGCGGUAAUACAGAGGGUGCGAGCGUUAAUCGGAAUUACUGGGCGUAAAGGGCGCGUAGGCGGCUUGGUAAGUCGGAUGUGAAAGCCCCGGGCUUAACCUGGGAAUUGCAUUCGAUACUGCCCGGCUAGAGUAUGGUAGAGGGAAGCGGAAUUCCGGGUGUAGCGGUGAAAUGCGUAGAUAUCCGGAGGAACAUCAGUGGCGAAGGCGGCUUCCUGGACCAAUACUGACGCUGAGGCGCGAAAGCGUGGGGAGCAAACAGGAUUAGAUACCCCUGUAGUCC
rnacentral:rRNA from 1 species